AAUUGCUACGAUAGUUCUACAGAAUAAAUAUUGAUUUUCCUUCUUCUCUGGCGAUUGGACAGACACAUGGUUUUCAUUCAUGCCUCUUAUCUUCGAAGGUGAUCCAUAACACGUAAAAAGUUGUUUCUCAAUGGAAUUCAUACGGUUUGAAGUUGCAGCGGGAAUGUAAAUACGCCUUCAGGGAUAUGUUUUUGCAUUAUACCGCAUUCAGCACUUACCAUCAGUCGUACUGGGUAGAAACGGUCAUCUACUUUUUAUUUUCUUCGAGCUUUGCAUGAUUGAUUCCCCCUUUAUGGGUGCCGAAUUCAAGAGGUAAAUUUAAAUGGAGUUGUCCAACGUGGGGCGUACCUUCAGAUUGUUCCCGAUUCGCUGUUUCAAUCUAUUUUGAGAAAAUGCAUCUAAUCGACAAUCCACGUGGAUCAUUGUUGGAGUUGGUGGUCCAGUUGAAAUCCUGCCGUUCCUGAGGGAACAUACAGACUUCAACGAACCGAAUGUUGAUUUGGAUACACGUCCUACCUACCUUAGCCUGUGAAGAGAUUUUUCCAUAUUUGUCCAGGCGAGCCUAUGCAUGGGAAGCAGUAGGAGCUAUUCUAGCAGAUACAAGGCACUGUCAAACUGUUCGAAAGAAACUUAUUUUGAGGCCAGCAAGUUGGAUGUUCAAUGAAUCGGAAUCAAGUCAGGAGAAUAACAGAUAUAUAGCUAGCAGAUAGCUUAGAUACAGGGUAACAAUUUAAUAACUUUCCAGGCCAAUUAUG